rnacentral:rRNA from 1 species
AUGGACAUCCCUGACAAAAGCUCUUUGGACAUGGACAAAACUACCAGUGUGUUCAGCAAUCAAAUCUUGAUGGGAACGAGCAUGGAUCCAACUUGUGCGUUCAGCAAUCAAAUCUUGAUGGGAACGAGCAUGGAUCCAACUUGUGCGUUCAGCAAUCAAAUCUUGAUGGGAACGAGCAUGGAUCCAACUUGUGCGCUCUCCGGAGCAACAACUCCUCCAGAUGGACUCCCUCAUGUGGAGCAUUCUAAGGUCAUCCCCAUAGACCUAUCAUCAUCUCACCAAGUGCCAAGUGGACCCAUGACACGAGCACGUGCAAGAGCUCUCAAAACCGAGGUGACAUCACUUCUCUUGCAACUCCCUUUUCAUAUGAGACAUGGCUACUACCUCAAACAAAGACAUUUUGCAUACUCAGGUACCAAGGAGUUAGCCAUGGAGAAGCUAAGGAGCAAGGAGGAUCGAAAGAGGAGGACAUACGCAAAGACGGAGAAGAGAAAGGGCAAGACAGCAAAAGCCCGGAUGAUCCAGACCGUCGUCCGGACGAUCCAACCCCAGCCUGGAUGA